UACAGAGGGUGCGAGCGUUAAUCGGAAUUACUGGGCGUAAAGCGCGCGUAGGCGGUUUUGUAAGUCGGGUGUGAAAUCCCCAAGCUUAACUUGGGAACUGCAUUCGAGACUGCAUAGCUAGAGUAUGGGAGAGGGAAGUGGAAUUUCAGGUGUAGCGGUGAAAUGCGUAGAUAUCUGAAGGAACAUCAGUGGCGAAGGCGGCUCACUGGCCCGGUACUGACGCUGAGGCGCGAAAGCGUGGGGAGCAAACAGG
rnacentral:rRNA from 1 species